CAAUAGCGUAUAUUAAUGUUGUUGCAGUUAAAAAGCUCGUAGUUGGAUUUCGAAUGGGAGCGGUGGGUCGGGUCCGCAAGGGCUCGUUACCUGUUUCGUCUCCGGUUCUUUUUCGGGAUUUGUUUCUGGCGUGGCUGGCAUUGAGUUGUCGGUGGCGUCGGGCCCGUCGUUUACUGUGAACAAAUUAGAGUGUUCAAAGCAAGGUGUGUCUUGAAUACAUUAGCAUGGAAUAAUGAGAUAGGACUUUGGUGGUUUCGGUGAAAGCCGGAUAUUUUGUUGGUUUGCACGCCAAAGUAAUGAUUANUAGGAGCAGUUGGGGGUAUUCGUAUUCAAUUGUCAGAGGUGAAAUUCUUGGAUUUCUAGAAGACGAACUACUGCGAANGNAUUUACNAGGGAUGUUUNCAUUA
rnacentral:rRNA from 1 species